GUGCAUUCUUUCUUCUUCUGAAAUGUCCUCUCCCCUUUCUGCUCGACACUCUUGCCGUGCGUCACAGGCUGUGGUCCAGCGCCGACACUUUUUCGGCUUCACUUGCAAUUUUCUCUUUAAUCCCUUUGUGGGUAUCUCUUUCUUCUGCCUAUUUAUUGCAUCCUUUCAUUUUUUUCUAUUUCACUGCGGCUGCUACUAGUGAUGGUGAUGUUGCGUUGACAGUACUUCACCACAUUCUCACCAUGACAGUUAAUCUUCAGGUAAAUUAAAUCAUUGUUGUGAUAUGAGAAAGUUGGGUUUCGUUUGUUCAUACUUCAUACAUAUAUCUGCCAGAUCUGCUUGGAAUAGCUUUAGUGAGGAUAAGGAAUUGAGCUUUUGCGGGUUAGCCUUCACAAAAUGACUUAGCGGACCAGGUGACUUUGAUUGGUGAAGUUUUUAAGAGGGAAACUGUCUGAGGCUCUUAGCUAAACCAAGGUGAUGAAUUUUUUCAAGCCACUUGAGGUAUGACAGUCAAGCUCUUUAAAAAGCCUUAUGUAGUGUAUAGGAGAAUAUACUGAGCUAUAUUGUAUAAUAAAAACAACUUUUCGGAUCUUGGUUUUAAGGAAAACAUUCCAAGAGGUUUCCUAGAACAAAUAUACACACAGAAGACCUCUUAUGGUAGCAACAACGAUGUCGCUACCCAGUUAUUUUCCUCAACCGCAAGGAAAAAGCAUCUAAUAAAGGAGGCAUACUAACUCAUGCAAAUAAUUCACCUUCCAUUGCACAUGUGAAGAAAUUACAUUGCAAACAAGGAAAACUGCAAGUGGAGAAUACAAUCAUGUUUAGGCUUCCUGUCACUCUUGGAUGUAAACAUGAGCGGCCUUGGGAUUGUGUUGCUACAUAGUUAAUUUGUUGCUUUCUUUAAUGUCAAAAUGCCUACCAUUGUUGAAUAUGAUUUAAGAAUGCUUUCAUUGAUGAAUUUAAUUUUGAAA